rfam:Triticum aestivum genome assembly, contig: Triticum_aestivum_CS42_TGACv1_scaffold_131004_2BL
UGAGUACCCUCCGUUCGAAAAUACUUGUCAUGAAAAUGCAUAAACAAGAUGUAUCUGAAACUAAAAUACGUCUAGAUACAUCUCAUUUUAUCCAUUUUGAUGACAAGUAUUUUCGGACGGAGGGAGUAGUAA